rnacentral:rRNA from 1 species
CCCUAUUAUUUAGAAAUGUUAAUUUUUGUGCCUGAGUAGUAUUAGUUAUGUUCUUGAAACUUAAAGAAUUUGGCGGUAUCUCAUUCCGUCCAGAGGAAUCUGUCCCGUUAUCGAUAGUCCACGUUGGACCUUACUUAUUUGAUUUGGUUUGUAUACCGCCGUUUAUUGAUUAUCUUUUUAGGGAUUGGUUAAUUUUCUGGCUUCUUUAUUUUGAUAUAUUUCAGGUCAAGGUGCAGCUUGUUUUUAAGUGGAAUGAUGGAUUACACUGUUAUUUGUUUGUGGAUUGUUGGUUUUAAUAUUGGCAUGAAAUUGGAUUUGGUUGUAAUGAUUUGUAGAUUGUUAUUAUGAUAAUUGGUUCUGAGAUAUGCACACAUCGCCCGUCGCUCUCGUUUGUUUAUUAUAAUGAGAUAAGUC